rnacentral:rRNA from 1 species
UACGGAGGGGGCGAGCGUUAUUCGGAAUCAUUGGGCGUAAAGGGCGCGUAGGCGGCCCGGUAAGUCAAAGGUGAAAUCCCUCGGCUCAACUGAGGAACUGCCUUUGAAACUGUCGGGCUUGAGGCCGGGAGGGGGUGGCGGAAUUCCCAGUGUAGCGGUGAAAUGCGUAGAUAUUGGGAGGAACACCAGUGGCGAAGGCGGCCACCUGGACCGGUUCUGACGCUGAUGCGCGAAAGCGUGGGUAGCAAACGGG